rnacentral:rRNA from 1 species
GUGGCGGACGGGUGAGUAACACGUGGGCAAUCUGCCCUUUAGACUGGAAUAACACCGGGAAACUGGUGCUAAUACCGGAUGAGAUCCAAUGGUGGCAUCACCUAUGGAUGAAAGGAGGCCUCUCUAUAGAAGCUCCCGCUAAAGGAUGAGCCCGCGUCCCAUUAGCUAGUUGGUAAGGUAAUGGCUUACCAAGGCAACGAUGGGUAGCCGGCCUGAGAGGGUGAACGGCCACACUGGGACUGAGACACGGCCCAGACUCCUACGGGAGGCAGCAGUGGGGAAUAUUGCGCAAUGGGGGAAACCCUGACGCAGCAACGCCGCGUGAACGAAGAAGGCUUUCGGGUCGUAAAGUUCUGUCAAGUGGGACGAAGGCUUAUAGGUUAACAGCCUAUGAGAUGACGGUACCUAUAGAGGAAGCUCCGGCUAACUACGUGCCAGCAGCCGCGGUAAUACGUAGGGAGCGAGCGUUGUCCGGAAUUACUGGGCGUAAAGGGCGCGUAGGCGGUUAUUUAAGUCAGAUGUGAAAACCCGAGGCUCAACCUCGGCCUUGCAUUUGAAACUGGAUGACUUGAGGAUGAGAGAGGAAAGUGGAAUUCCUAGUGUAGCGGUGAAAUGCGUAGAUAUUAGGAGGAACACCAGUGGCGAAGGCGACUUUCUGGCUCAUACCUGACGCUGAGGCGCGAAAGCGUGGGGAGCAAACAGGAUUAGAUACCUUGGUAGUGCACNCCGUAAACGAUGGGACUAGGUGUAGGAGGUAUCGACCCUUCNGUGCCGCACUA